GGAGAUUGCGGAUUGCAAAAUCUUCAACAAUCUUUCAAUCAAUUGUAAAUCUGCAAUACACCUCUUGAAUUGAAGUUUUUUUCUCAAAAUUUUCACCACUUGAUCUUCAGCGCCGAUUUUCCCAUUCCUUGAUUCGCCUGCUCACUGCCUGAUGCCUGAGUUCAGUGCCGCUCCAGUUUCUUAGCUUUUCUCCUUCAGCUACUGACUGUCUUUGACUCGUAGCUUUCCCCCUUGUACCAGAAAACGUUCUUUAGGGUCCUUCCUACGUUCCACUGAUCUCUGAUCUUCAUCACCAUGGGCAACACUUCCUCUAUGCUCACGCAGUACGACAUCGAAGAGGUCCAGCAACACUGUAACUACACUUUUACGCAGCAGGAGAUCGUUUCCCUGUACGAGAGAUUCUGUCAGUUAGAUCGAAAUAGCUCUGGUUUUAUUACCGCUGACGAAUUUUUGUCCCUCCCCGAAUUCGCCGUCAAUCCUCUCUCUCAGAGAUUGUUAAGGCUGCUGGAUGGAUUGAACUUCAAGGAAUUUGUAGCGUUCUUAUCUGCAUUUAGUCCUCGUGCGACCUUACAGCAUAAAAUUGAAUUUAUUUUCAAGGUAUAUGACACAGACUGCAAUGGAAAAGUGAGCUUCAAUGACAUGUUGGACGUCUUACGAGAUUUGACAGGACAGUUCAUAUCUGAACACCAGAGAGAGCAAGUUCUAGCACAAGUCCUCGAGGAAGCAGGCUAUAAAAAGGAUUCAUUGUUGGUCUUGUCUGACUUCAUGAAGAUUCUUGGCAACUCAGGUUUGAAAAUGGAAGUUGAAGUUCCUGUUGAUUAACAUGAGAGUAGAAGUUGAACAUGGGUUUCCCAAAUCCACAACAAAAUAGUUUUAAGUUUGAUGUGGGCAUUUCUUGAACCUGAAUAUUGUCGUCAGCAAUUGUAUUCAUCGGGUCAAAAUUUGCAAUGCAUUCCACUCUGACCAAACUUGCUUGAUAAUUGAUAAUUGAUAAUUUUCUGGCGUUUGACACAUUGAGGGCCUCUAUGUGAAUAUUCUGUCCCAGAAUUUCUGGAUUUGCCUCUCGAUUGGGGUAGUUCUUGUGUUGGAACAAAAGCGUCUUUCUUCUGUUAAUAAGCUAAUGAUUCAAAUGACAUCAACCUUUUUUUAUAGAUUGAAGUAAGAUUUCAACGAGUUCAA